rnacentral:rRNA from 1 species
GACGAACGCUGGCGGCGUGCCUAACACAUGCAAGUCGAGCGGACGGUUACGAGGUUGUAGAGAUACAAAGGAGUGACUGUUAGCGGCGAACGGGUGAGUAACACGUGGACAAUCUGCCCUCCGGGUCGGGAUAACAGACCGAAAGGCCUGCUAAUACCGAAUGAGGCGGCGACCUCGCAUGGGGAUGCCGUCAAAGGGGAAACCCGCCGGGGGAGGAGUCCGCGUCCCAUUAGCUAGUUGGUGAUGUAACGGACCACCAAGGCGAUGAUGGGUAGCCGGCCUGAGAGGGUGAACGGCCACAUUGGGACUGAGACACGGCCCAGACUCCUACGGGGGCAGCAGUGAGGGAUUUUCGGCAAUGGGCGAAAGCCUGACCGAGCGACGCCGCGUGAGCGAAGAAGGCCUUCGGUCGUAAAGCUCUGUCUAGGGGGAAGAGGAAGGACGGUACCCCUGGAGGAAGCCACGGCUAACUACGUG